CCGAAAUGUGAUUAUGCUUCUUGACUGACUCAGUGUUUGAAAACAUGACUAACCCAGUAUAAAAUAUUUUAUUUAUGGCGCUGGAGCUAUAUAUAUGGUUUCAAGCUGUGGAAAACCGCAUCGAACUAUUAAAAUUUGCGAGGAAAAUCCAAUGAUAGUUAUUUUUAGCCAUGUUCAAACUCGACCACUAUCUUAGUUAAGAAUAUGACAAAUAUAAUACGUGUUUAAAUGUAAACACGUGAUAAAAUGAUAUUCCUGACAAAACUUAAACUAACCCAUCCUACUCAUGCAUUAAUUUGGCUUUCAAGGCAUCUCCCCAAAAAUAAAUAAAUAAAUGUUAAAAUGUCCGUGGGGAAGUACCCCCAAACCCCUAGGAAACAUGUUAAACCAUUUAUAUUUUGGUUCUGAGGGAGGGUAGGGUGCGAAUGUCGAAAGUGUGUGCCCCUGACUAACGUCCCCUCUUACGUUAAUUCCUGGAUACGCCUCUGAGAUAUUGUCGAACUACACAGGCGUUAGCGACCAAUACAAAUAGCGAGUGCUCCGAUAAGAGUGUUAGUCAUUUUAGGAUUUUGGAGCAUAGUGCACAUACAGAGUGUAACCCUGGUUAGAGCUACUCGGGUUCUUUUACGCGCACCAGUGUAUAGCACUGGCACACGGGACCUCCAUUUAACGUUCGGCAGGGAAUCGACCCUGCGACCCCUGGAUUGACAUUCAAGUGUGUUACCACUAGACCACCGAAUCGCCACGAUGUAGGAAUGGGAACGCAUUCUUAUAUAUUACCAUUCUGUACAAUCGAGUCAACGGGCGACACAAUUGAGAAAACUGAAGCCGUUAGGAAGUCAACGCCACCAUGGUAUUGAUUUACUCAGCUCUGAUGUACUCAGCUGUGAUGUAGCAUGCCUUCAAGCCACUAUCUGAAGAACAUUCAGACGUUCUAAAUGGACCAUUGCCCUGUUGCCAUGGAAAUCAUUAUGAGGAGGAGCACACAAACCGUCACUUGUUUUGAAUACGAGAUGUACCACGAACUGACCAUAAACCAACGGAUGCUCUGUUUAUUUCAUCAGCCAAUUUCGAUGUAAAUUUUACUGAAUAACGACAAACAGUCUUACUCAUAAGCAUCUCUUACUCAUUCGUAUUCCACAACUAAACAUGCUUGCAAUUACACUGUGCCAUCUAUCAUAAUAUAGCAAUGCUGCAAUGACCACAUUUUUUUGUACCAGUUGUUGCUUUAUACUGAAACUUUUAUUGAAAAUGGUGCAUAAAAACUGAUAAAACAUUAAUGUUUCAUUCAUACCUUUGUACAUGUUCUUUCAGUGUAUAUGUUGAUAAUGUUAAUACAUAAUUUAUGUGCAUUUACACAUGUGUUUAUUGCCAACCUCAUCAAAACAUGCAUAGUUUGCUCACAUACAUAUUUCCAACACUCAUUGUUCUCAAUAAGAACCGGCUGUCGGCCAAAAUGGUCGGUUCAAAUGGCAAUAGGGCCGGUUCAAAUUUGGAAAACAAAAUGAAUUUUCAGUAGAAUAAGUAGAAGCUGGUCGUUUACUUUACUAUUUGAGACGGUUCAACCAAAACUUAUUGAGAACCCUGCGGUAACACAGACAUUUACUGAAUGUAUUACUACUUUACUUUGAUUUUGAUAUGUAAAUAAAACAUUGUACAUUUGUACAAAACACUUUCA